GCACGUCGGCGGCGGUUCGAUUCCCAGCUCUCCUCUCCUUACCCUUUUUCUUUCUCACCCUCCCUUCUCCUUCUUUGACGCUCAGACCAUCCUCCUCCCGCGCGUCGCGGCUCACCUGCACCGGCGCGCCGCUCCCCCGCCGGCCGCUGAUGCCACGCCCGCCGGCCGCGGCUGCCCACGACGGGUGCCGCUGCUGCCCUCCGCUCGAGGUCCGCUGCUGCCCCACGGCCCGGACGCGGCUCCCCAAGCCGGCCGGCGCAGAAGCUGCCUCGCCGGGCAUGGAUGCCCCUGCAGCUUCACUCACGGACGCGGCUGCUACGCUAGCCGGCCGCCGCUCCACGCGCUGCUGGCCGCCGCUACAGCUCCUCUCGCCGCCCACGGCUGUCCGCCGCAGCUCACCUCGCACUGCGACUCCCCCAUGAGGCCCCCUCGACGCGUCGUCGUACCGCAGUCUCCAACACAUCCAGCCCGCCUUGGAUCUAGAUCAGUUGCUGUGCAAUAUGGAGGAGGAACCGGAAGUCACACCUCCUUCGAAAGCACUCCUGCAGAUCCUGCGCUGCUUUCCAAGUGCUUCCCUCGCCGUCAAGCUGUUCGAUGAAACGUUUAGCCCAUGUCUGCUUUAGUCAGGUACAUUCAGCUGUUUGGUAUGGAUCCGCAAGGGAUGAGGCAUUGAUGCCAGCUACGUGACUUCUUGUCUUUGUUCCAGGUAGGCGUAUGUAUUCUUUGUUAUUGCGAUUUCCCUAAGAACUUAGAAAAUUAUGCACCUAUUUAAUAGGUUUUGUAUGUGCAAAGUAAUAUCACCUGGAUUGCUUUUAUCCGUGAAAA